GGGCACUACAUCAGUUAUGUCCAUGACGGAUCUGAAUGGCUUAAAUGCAGUGACAACUCCAUCAAAAAAUCCAGCUGGACAAAGGCGUCAAAAAAAAUGGGAAAGAAUGGCUACAUGCUCUUCUACGUGAAGAGUUGAGCGGCGACUGGUUGAGUGUUGGAGAGGAAAGGCUGGAAGACCGACUGGAAGUUUUCACUGUCCUGCUGUAAAAGUAUGGGUCAGUUAAUUAAACAUCUGCCCUCUGCUGGCCAGGUAUUGAACACUCAGCUAAAAUAUUCUGAAAGACAAGGGUGCCGAGAUAAGACAGUGAUACAAAUAAAAGACUAAAACAACAGAAAAAGAGCAAGAGGAAGAAUAAAGAUGAGCCAGGAAAGAGAGACUGGACGAUGGUGCCGUUGGGAAGGAGCAACAUUUUAGUGAAGAUCAUUCUGUGGCUGACAGUCUCUGUCUCUGAUUUCAAAUGUACUUUGAAAUCACACAAUAAAACUAAACAAUGUUAGAAAAUAACAAUAUAAUAAUGACAUUUGUGUAUAGAUAGGUACAAGAAAUGAUGAUAUGAUUACAAUAAAAUUGUGAUGAAUUAAUAAAGAAAGAAUGAAUAAAUAAAAAGAAAGAAAAUGAAACAUAAUUGU